UUUAAGGUCUAACCUGCCCAAUGAGGAUUUAAAUGGCCGCAGUAUUUUGACUGUGCAAAGGUAGCAUAAUUAUUAGUUUUUUAAUUGAAAGCUUGUAUGAAGGGUUGGACGAGAUAAAAUCUGUCUUUAUUUAAAUUAGAGUAUAACUUAACUUUUAAGUCAAAAGGCUUAAAUGUUUAUAAAAGACGAGAAGACCCUAUAGAUCUUUAUUUAUUUAAGAUUUUAAUAAUUUAGGAUUAUUUUAAUUUGAAGUUUUAAAUAAAUUUUAUUGGGGUAAUAUAAAGAUUAAAUUAAUUCUUUUUAUUUAUUACAUUGAUUUAUGAAUAUAUGAUCCAUUAAUACUGAUUAUAAGAUUAAGUUACCUUAGGGAUAACAGCGUAAUUUUUUUGGAGAGCUCAUAUCGAUAAGAAAGUUUGCGACCUCGAUGUUGGAUUAAAAAUUAGCUUGGGUGCAGAAGCUCAAGAUUUUGGUCUGUUCGACCAUUAAAUUUUUACAUGAUCUGAGUUCAGACCGGCGUAAGCCAGGUCGGUUUCUAUCUUUAUUUAAAUAAAAUGUUUUAGUACGAAAGGACCAAAUAUUUAAUAUAGUUAUAUUUAUUUUUUGAAGGAUAUU
rnacentral:rRNA from 1 species